rnacentral:rRNA from 1 species
CAUAUCAAUAAGCGGAGGAAAAGAAACUAACAAGGAUUCCCCUAGUAACUGCGAGUGAAGCGGGAAAAGCUCAAAUUUAAAAUCUGGCAGCCUUUGGUUGUCCGAGUUGUAAUCUAGAGAAGUGUUAUCCGCGUUGGACCGUGUACAAGUCUCCUGGAAUGGAGCGUCAUAGAGGGUGAGAAUCCCGUCUUUGACACGGACUGCCAAGGCUUUGUGAUGCGCUCUCAAAGAGUCGAGUUGUUUGGGAAUGCAGCUCAAAAUGGGUGGUAAAUUCCAUCUAAAGCUAAAUAUUGGCGAGAGACCGAUAGCGAACAAGUACCGUGAGGGAAAGAUGAAAAGAACUUUGGAAAGAGAGUUAAACAGUACGUGAAAUUGCUGAAAGGGAAACGCUUGAAGUCAGUCGCGUUGUCCAGGGAUCAACCUUGCUUUUGCUUGGUGCACUUUCUGGUUGACGGGUCAGCAUCAAUUUUGACUAUUGGAAAAAGAUUAGGGGAAUGUGGCAUCUUUGGAUGUGUUAUAGCCCUUGGUUGCAUACAAUGGUUGGGAUUGAGGAACUCAGCACGCCGCAAGGCCGGGUUUUUAACCACGUACGUGCUUAGGAUGCUGGCAUAAUGGCUUUAAUCGACCCGUCUUGAAACACGGACCAAGGAGUCUAACAUGCCUGCGAGUGUUUGGGUGGAAAACCCGAGCGCGUAAUGAAAGUGAAAGUUGAGAUCCCUGUCGUGGGGAGCAUCGACGCCCGGACCAGACCUUUUGUGACGGUUCCGCGGUAGAGCAUGUAUGUUGGGACCCGAAAGAUGGUGAACUAUGCCUGAAUAGGGUGAAGCCAGAGGAAACUCUGGUGGAGGCUCGUAGCGAUUCUGACGUGCAAAUCGAUCGUCAAAUUUGGGUAUAGGGGCGAAAGACUAAUCGAACCAUCUAGUAGCUGGUUCU